CAUUUUAUUCUGUCCCUUUAUUCUUCCAUUUCUUUUUCUUUCUUCCUCUCUUACCCAUUUGCCUGGCUUAGGGUUUCCGGCAACAACCCUCUUUCGUCAUUACCUCAAAAUCUUUGUUUCCGUUGAUUACACUCCUCCGAAAUCUCACUCCACGCCUUGUUUGAAAACCGCGAAUCCCCUCAUCUGCAGUUUCUAGGGUUUCAAUUUGUGGAAGAUUCGUUCUACCGACAAAGAUUCGAUCCAUGGUAGGGAUUAUUGGGCGGAUGAAAGCGUGAUUGACGCUCGGUGGCGAGCGAGUUGAUAGACUGCGGGUUGGGUGGAUUUUGUAUGGAAACACGGAGCCGGAAGCGGGCGGAGGCUUCCUCAGCUGCCCCUUCAUCCCCUUCCUCUGGUCCCACUACCCGUUCCAGCAAGCGUGCGCGUCUCUCUUCUUCUUCCUCUGCUUCCGCCGCCGCAACCACCACCGCAUCUCUUUCUUCUGUUAACACUCGCUCCCGUGCAUCAAGAACUAAGGAACAACCCUUACCUCCGAAGAAUCCUCCUCCCAUGGACUCUGCCAAUGAAUCAUCUGGUUCCCGACGUGAUCGCCGCAGCAAGGACAACACCGACAAGGGUAAGGAAAAAGAACACGAUGUUAGGAUUAGGGACAGAGAUGCUGACAGAGGGCUGGCAUUGAACAUGGAUGGUGGUGCAGAAGAUGAUGAUAAUGACAGUGAAGGUGGUGUGGGGAUUUUGCAUCAAAAUUUGACCUCUGCGAGUAGUGCACUUCAGGGGCUGCUUCGGAAGCUUGGUGCUGGGUUGGAUGAUCUGCUCCCAUCUUCUGCCAUGGGUUCUGCAUCUUCCUCUCACCAGAACGGGAGGCUGAAAAAGAUCCUUUUUGGGUUGCGAGCGGAGGGCGAAGAAGGGCGGCAGGUUGAAGCGCUGACGCAACUCUGUGAAAUGCUUUCAAUUGGGACUGAAGAAUCGCUUAGUACAUUCUCAGUUGAUUCGUUUGUUCCUGUGCUUGUGGGUUUGUUGAAUCACGAGAACAAUCCCGACAUCAUGCUUCUUGCUGCAAGAGCAUUAACCCAUCUCUGCGACGUGCUACCUUCAUCUUGUGCUGCGGUUGUUCAUUAUGGUGCAGUUUCAAUUUUCUGUGCGAGGUUGCUCACCAUAGAAUACAUGGACUUGGCUGAGCAGUCCCUUCAAGCUCUGAAGAAGAUAUCUCAGGAGCAUCCCACUGCCUGCCUACGAGCAGGUGCUCUUAUGGCCGUGCUUUCUUAUUUGGACUUCUUUUCUACAGGAGUUCAGCGGGUUGCAUUGUCUACUGCUGCAAAUAUGUGCAAGAAACUUCCUUCAGAUGCGUCUGAUUUUGUGAUGGAAGCUGUUCCUCUUCUCACAAACCUUCUUCAUUACCAUGAUGCCAAGGUUCUAGAGCAUGCCUCUGUUUGUUUGACUCGAAUAGCUGAAGCGUUUGCGUCAUCACCUGACAAAUUAGAUGAAUUGUGCAACCAUGGACUGGUAACACAAGCUGCCUCCCUCAUCUCUAACAGCAGUUCUGGAGGUGGUCAGGCUUCUCUCAGCACACCGACAUAUACGGGUUUAAUCCGACUUCUUUCAACUUGUGCGAGUGGAUCGCCUCUUGGAGCUAAAACUUUACUACUACUCGGAAUUAGUGGUAUUCUUAAAGAUAUUCUAUCUGGUUCUGGAGUUUCUUCUAAUGCCUCUGUUUCUCCUGCAUUAAGUAGGCCCCCGGAGCAGAUAUUUGAGAUUGUAAACCUGGCAAAUGAGCUUCUUCCCCCAUUGCCACAAGGAACAAUUUCUCUCCCUAUCAUCUCCAACAUGUUUAUGAAAGGGCCCAUUAUAAGGAAGUCUCCCGCUGGUAGCUCUGGGAAACAAGAAGAUUCAAAUGGAAAUGUUACUGAGAUAUCAGCCCGUGAGAAACUAUUAAAUGACCAGCCUGAACUUCUUAAGCAAUUUGCUAUGGAUCUUCUACCAGUUUUAAUACAGAUAUAUGGUUCUAGUGUCAAUGGUCCUGUUCGGCACAAAUGUCUUUCUGUCAUUGGAAAAUUGAUGUAUUUCAGCACAGCGGAGAUGAUCCAGUCUUUGUUGAGUGUGACCAAUAUAUCAAGUUUCUUAGCUGGGGUCCUCGCAUGGAAAGAUCCACAUGUGUUGAUUCCUGCCUUGAAAAUUGCUGAAAUUCUUAUGGAAAAGCUUCCUGGGACAUUCUCCAAGAUGUUCAUCAGAGAAGGUGUUGUGCAUGCAGUGGACCAACUUAUUUUACCCACAAAUUCAACCAAUAUCUCUACUCAGGCAUCUUCUGCUGAAAAGGAUAACGAUUCUAUAUCUGGAGCAUCAUCUCGCUCUAGGCGUUAUCGGCGACGCAGUGGAAGCUCCAAUCCUGAUGGUAAUCCUUUGGAUGAUUUGAAGGCUCCUGUUUCAGUGAAUGUCGGCUCACCUCCAAGUUCUGUGGAUAUUCCAACAGUAAAUUCCAGUAUUCGCAUGUCUGUUAGUGCAGCCGCAAAGGCUUUUAAAGAUAAGUACUUUCCUUCGGAUGCUGGGGCGUCUGAAGUGGGUAUUACUGAUGAUCUUUUGAAUCUGAAAAAUCUUUGCAUGAAGCUAAAUACAGAUGCGAAUGAAGAAAGGACCAGUGGAAAGGGGAAAUCUAAAUCUUCUGGAUUUGUUCUAGAAGAGUAUUUAAUUGGGGUCAUAGCUGACAUGCUAAAGGAACUUGGCAAAGGUGAUGGUGUAUCUACAUUUGAAUUUAUUGGUAGUGGUGUUGUUGCAGCUUUGUUGAAUUAUUUUUCCUGUGGGUACUUCUCUAAAGAUAAAUCCUUAGAAACCUUCUUACCAAACCUUCGCCAGCAAGCACUUACAAGGUUUAAGUUAUUUAUAGCUGUUGCACUACCUCCCUCAACUGAAGUUGGGACUGUGCCUCCUAUGACCGUCUUGGUUCAAAAGCUUCAAAAUGCCUUGUCCUCAUUGGAACGUUUCCCUGUUGUGCUGAGUCAUUCAUCCAGGUCAUCUAGUGGGAGUACACGCCUCUCCUCUGGACUAAGUGCAUUAUCUCAUCCCUUCAAGUUGCGGCUUUGUCGAGCCCAGGGUGAAAAGUCACUUAAGGAUUAUUCAUCAAAUGUUGUAUUGGUUGACCCAUUAGCAAGUUUAGCAGCCAUUGAAGAAUUUCUUUGGUCUCGUAUCCAACGAAGUGAAUCUGGUCAGAAGUCCACUGUACCUGCUGGUCAUUCUGAAUCAACUCCAGGAGCUGGUGUAUCCACUCCUUCCACUACCCGUCGUCAUUCUACUAGAUCCAGAUCAUCUGUUGAUAUAGGUGACACAUCUAGAAAGCAAGUACUUCAAGAUAAAAGCACUAGCUCUUCUAAGAGUAAGGGAAAAGCUGUAUUAAAGCCUGCGCAAGAGGAGUCAAGAGGACCUCAGACCAGGAAUGCUACUCGCAGAAGAGCAGCUCUUGAUAAAGAUGCUCAAGCAAAACCUGUAAAUGGUGACUCUACUUCUGAGGAUGAAGAUUUGGAUAUAUCUCCUGUUGAGAUUGAUGAGGCAUUGGUGAUUGAAGAUGAUGAUAUUUCUGAUGAUGAAGAUGAUGACCAUGAAGAUGUUCUGAGGGAUGAUUCUCUUCCUUUGGUGUGCUCUCCUGACAAAGUACAUGAUGUGAAAUUGGGUGAUCUGGCUGAGGAAAGUACUGUUGCUCCUGCGACAACUGAUGGCCAGACUAAUGCUGCUUCAGGUUCUAGCAGCAAAACUGGUACCGUGAGGGGAUCAGACUCUACUGAUUUUAGGAGUGGCUAUACAUCAAGCUCAAGAGGUGCAAUGUCAUUUGCUGCUGCUGCCAUGGCUGGACUUGGAUCUGCCAAUAACAGAGGUUUAAGGGGGGGAAGAGAUCGACUAGGGCGUCCAUUAUUUGGUAGUUCUAAUGAUCCUCCAAAGUUGAUCUUUACCGCUGGUGGGAAGCUGCUUAAUAGGCAUUUGACUAUAUAUCAGGCAAUUCAAAGACAGCUUGUGCAUGAUGAAGAUGAUGACGAGAGAUUGGCUGGCAGUAAUGACUAUGUAUCCGGUGAUGGAAGCAGGUUGUGGGGUGAUAUUUAUACUAUAACUUAUCAGAGGUCAGAGAACCAAACAGAUAGGACUACCCCUGGAGGUUCAAGCUCUAAUGCUUCCAAAUCUGGCAAAUCUGGAUCUGCAUCAAAUUCUGGUUCUGAAGCCAAGCUACAUCAGACAUCUGUAUUAGAUAGCAUCUUGCAGGGUGAAUUGCCCUGUGAAUUGGAGAAAUCUAAUCCUACAUACAAUAUAUUAGCACUAUUGCGGGUGCUGGAGGGUUUGAACCAACUUGCCCCUCGAUUGAGGGCCCAAGUGGUUACCGAUAACUUUGCAGAGGGUAAGAUUUUGGAUUUAGAUGAGCUAAGUGUUAGCAUUGGUGCUAGGGUUCCUGCAGAGGAAUUUAUAAGCGGCAAACUUACUCCAAAAUUAGCUAGGCAAAUACAAGAUGCCCUUGCCUUAUGUAGUGGGAGUCUUCCUUCAUGGUGUUACCAGCUAACUAAAGCAUGCCCUUUCUUGUUUCCUUUUGAGACCCGGAGACAGUACUUCUAUUCAACUGCCUUUGGGUUAUCUCGUGCACUGUAUCGUCUUCAACAGCAGCAGGGUGCUGAUGGUCAUGGAUCAACAAAUGAAAGAGAGAUCAGGGUUGGUAGAUUGCAGCGGCAAAAGGUUCGUGUAUCUCGAAACCGCAUUUUGGAUUCUGCUGCCAAAGUGAUGGAGUUGUAUUCUAGUCAAAAGGCAGUACUUGAAGUAGAAUAUUUUGGUGAAGUUGGCACUGGUCUGGGUCCCACCUUGGAGUUCUACACACUUCUCAGUCAUGACUUACAAAGAGUUGGACUUCGAAUGUGGAGAUCAGGUUCUUCAGAUAAAUAUUCAAUGGAAAUUGAUGGAAAUGAAAGGAAAAUGAAAAGUAGCGAUGGCUCUUCUGCUGGAGAUGGAGAACUUGUUCAGGCUCCUCUUGGGCUGUUUCCUCGACCAUGGCCUGCAAAUGCUGAUACAUCUGAGGGUACCCCAUUUUUUAGAGUUAUUGAAUAUUUCCGGCUAUUAGGUCGUGUAAUGGCUAAAGCUCUCCAAGAUGGACGCCUAUUGGAUUUACCACUGUCAGCGGCAUUUUAUAAGCUUGUUCUUGGUCAAGAUCUUGAUUUGCAUGACAUUCUUUUCGUUGAUGCUGAGCUUGGGAAAACUUUACAAGAGUUAAAUGCCCUUGUUUGCCGAAAACGAUAUCUCGAAUCUUUUGGUGGUUCCUAUACUGAUAAAAUUGGUAAUUUACAAUUUCGUGGGGCUCAAAUUGAAGAUCUCUGCUUUGACUUUACUCUUCCUGGUUAUCCAGAGUACAUCUUGAAACCUGGAGAUGAAAUUGUUGACAUCAAUAAUCUAGAGGAGUACAUAUCCAUGGUGGUCGAGGCAACUGUUAAGACUGGAAUCUUGCGUCAGAUGGAAGCAUUCAGGGCAGGGUUCAAUCAGGUUUUUGAAAUCUCAUCUUUGCAAAUUUUUACUCCCCAAGAACUGGAUUAUUUGCUUUGCGGCCGUAGAGAAUUGUGGAAGACUGAGACACUUGCUGAUCAUAUAAAAUUUGACCAUGGUUAUACUGCCAAGAGCCCAGCCAUAGUUAAUUUACUAGAAAUCAUGGGAGAAUUCACACCAGAACAGCAGCGAGCCUUCUGUCAAUUUGUUACUGGUGCACCUAGACUUCCACCUGGUGGACUGGCAGUUCUAAAUCCAAAACUAACAAUUGUGAGGAAGCUUUCGUCAAGUGCAGCUAAUGCUUCAUCUAAUGGGAACGGGCCUUCAGAAUUAGCAGAUGAUGACUUGCCCAGUGUGAUGACGUGUGCAAAUUACCUGAAACUUCCUCCUUAUUCUACCAAGGAAAUUAUGUUCAAGAAGCUACUCUAUGCAAUCAAUGAAGGCCAGGGAUCCUUUGAUUUAUCAUGACCUUCCGGAACUAACCUACCCGACCCUGCAUGUUAAUAUGGCAAACCAGGGUUAAUCUCGAGGCUUAAUUAUUUUUUUGGUUGCGUGUACUUUCCUCCUUGCUUCUCAAAUAAUGGCUUCAGUUGGGUCACGCACGUCAAAGGUGGGAAUGGUUUGGUUGAAUUGGAUUGCCUCAUUUUCAAGGUGUAAAGGGAUUUGCGGAGCUCGUUUUAGCUGUUCAACAUGUAAAUAGAAUAGGAAUAUUGAGUAAUUACCCUCCUAAAUUUUUCAUCAUUCUGUUUCCAAGUCAAAAUUAUUGGCAGCUAGUUAUAUACAUGUAUGGAAGAUGGUAAAAGGAAUAGAAAUAUCAAAUACUAUGCUUUAUGAUUUGACA